UUCCUGGUGUCUCAGUUGGUAAAGAAUCUGCCUGCAAUGCAGGAGACCCAGGUUCGAUCCCUGGGUUGGGAAG